UGGACUCUGCAUUCUGCAUUUCGUGUCUGCAUGAAACAUUAGGUUAGAUAACUCAAGAUACCUAUUUUUAGUACCUCGAAGAAGACGUCCCUUGUUCUGUCAAUAAAAAAGAAGAAAACAAAAGAUGCGCGAAAAAACAGGAACUCAAACGUCAUGGCAAAGAAGAGGAAACAAUUUGACGAAUAUUUGGGAGGAUCCGAGACCCUUCCAUCUGAAGUGUCUAUCAUGCAAUUCGUCUCUUCACGAGCCCGUGAAAUUUCCGCGAUGACAUCUUCGAUUGCCGCAAAAAAUUGUCAUGGCGAAGAAGAAGAAACAUUUUGACGAAUUGAAAUUUUGGAAGGAUCCGAGACCCUUCCAUCUGAAAUGUCUAUUAUGUGAUUCGGCUCUUCGAGGGCCCAUGAAAUUUCCAAGGUGACAUCUUCGAUUGCUUCUGCUGCCUAGCGAGUUGGAUCUCAUGCGUUUUCAUAUUCAUCAAACGUAUUUAUUCAGCAACAACUUUAAGAGAAAAUCCUAAGUAAACCAAGUUAAUAUUUCA